GGCGGGGUAGCUCAGUUGGUCAGAGCAGCGGAAUCAUAAUCCGUUUGUCGGGGGUUCAAAUCCCUCCCCCGCUACCA
rnacentral:tRNA from 1 species